AUUGAGCGCUGGCGGCAUGCUUUACACAUGCAAGUCGAACGGUAACAGGGUGCUUGCACCGCUGACGAGUGGCGAACGGGUGAGUAAUGCGUCGGAACGUGCCGAGUAGUGGGGGAUAACGCAGCGAAAGUUGUGCUAAUACCGCAUACGUACUGAGGUAGAAAGUGGGGGACCUUCGGGCCUCACGCUAUUCGAGCGGCCGACGUCUGAUUAGCUAGUAGGUGAGGUAAAGGCUCACCUAGGCGACGAUCAGUAGCGGGUCUGAGGGGAUGAUCCGCCACACUGGGACUGAGACACGGCCCAGACUCCUACGGGAGGCAGCAGUGGGGAAUUUUGGACAAUGGGCGAAAGCCUGAUCCAGCCAUGCGGCGUGUCUGAAGAAGGCCUUCGGGUUGUAAAGGACUUUUGUCAGGGAGGAAAUCCCUAGUGCUAAUAACACUGGGGGAUGACAGUACCUGAAGAAUAAGCACCGGCUAACUACGUGCCAGCCGCCGCAGUAA
rnacentral:rRNA from 1 species